rnacentral:rRNA from 1 species
UGGGGAAUUGUUCGCAAUGGGCGAAAGCCUGACGACGCAACGCCGCGUGGAGGAUGAAGAUCUUCGGGUCGUAAACUCCUGUCGAGCGGGAAGAACGUUUCACGGAUGAAUAAGCCGUGGAAGUGACGGUACCGCUAAAGGAAGCCCCGGCUAACUCCGUGCCAGCAGCCGCGGUAAUACGGGGGGGGCAAGCGUUGUUCGGAAUUACUGGGCGUAAAGGGCUCGUAGGUGGCCAACUAAGUCAGACGUGAAAUCCCCAGGCUCAACUUGGGAACUGCGUCUGAUACUGGAUGGCUUGAAUUCGGGAGAGGGAUGCAGAAUUCCAGGUGUAGCGGUGAAAUGCGUAGAUAUCGUCAAGAACACCUAUUGCGAAGGCAGCUAACUAAGCUUUAACUGACGCUGAGGCACGAAAGUGUGGGGAUCAAACAGGAUUAGAUACCCUGGUAGUCCACACUGUAAACGUUGAUUACUCGCUGUUGGCAAUACACAGUCAGC